UACGUAGGGGGCAAGCGUUGUCCGGAAUUACUGGGCGUAAAGGGCGCGUAGGCGGCCUGUUAAGUCGAACGUGAAAUCCCCGGGCUCAACCCGGGAACUGCGUCCGAUACUGGCAGGCUUGAAUUCGGGAGAGGGAUGCGGAAUUCCAGGUGUAGCGGUGAAAUGCGUAGAUAUCUGGAGGAACACCGGUGGCGAAGGCGGCAUCCUGGACCGAGAUUGACGCUGAGGCGCGAAAGCCAGGGGAGCAAACGGG
rnacentral:rRNA from 1 species